rnacentral:rRNA from 1 species
GAUGAACGCUGGCGGCGUGCCUAAUACAUGCAAGUCGAGCGAACGGACGAGAAGCUUGCUUCUCUGAUGUUAGCGGCGGACGGGUGAGUAACACGUGGAUAACCUACCUAUAAGACUGGGAUAACUUCGGGAAACCGGAGCUAAUACCGGAUAAUAUUUUGAACCGCAUGGUUCAAAAGUGAAAGACGGUCUUGCUGUCACUUAUAGAUGGAUCCGCGCUGCAUUAGCUAGUUGGUAAGGUAACGGCUUACCAAGGCAACGAUGCAUAGCCGACCUGAGAGGGUGAUCGGCCACACUGGAACAGAGACACGGUCCAGACUCCUACGGGAGGCAGCAGUAGGGAAUCUUCCGCGAUGGGCGAAAGCCUGACGGAGCAACGCCGCGUGAGUGAUGAAGGUCUUCGGAUCGUAAAACUCUGUUAUUAGGGAAGAACAUAUGUGUAAGUAACUGUGCACAUCUUGACGGUACCUAAUCAGAAAGCCACGGCUAACUACGUG